AGAAAAUCAUGUUGGUUACUUGUGCCUAAGUUUCCGGACAAUAGGAAACGCACAGCACACAGACUGCACCCUCUCUGGAGAACACGUUGAAGAAAUGGACAUUUCUGUUGCUACAUCGGUGAGGAACAGGAGGGAAAAGACUGGUAAUCCAAUAGCAAAUUCUGGAGAAAAAGAAUUCACAGGUCAUUGUCCCUGAAUACUUACGGUGCUUUAUCUGCAAAAUACGUGGGUCGCUGCUGAAGCGGCUUGGCUUGAAUUGUCAUUACACCACUCAAGUCGUUAUAGAAGUUGCUGGAGAAGCGAUGGAGCUGCGAAAACUAAAAGCAGAAUGGCAUUAAGCAAUACCCAGGGCCAUUUCAUUGAUGGAGGCCUGUUUGGAGUCAGCAGGCAGCAAAUGGCAGCAACUUGGCCAGUGAGAGAAAAAUGUAACAGAAUAGCACUUUAUAAGCAAAACUAUAGAUGCCGUGUUUAUAGAAUUCAGAUUCACAGCGAACAAAGCAAAGGAUAUUCUAUUGAAUGUAUCAGAAACUGAAAGCAAUAGCAAGCAAAUAGUAACUUCAAAAUUUACUUCCAAAGAGGAAACGUGAAAAGGAGUUAUUAUAAAGGUCUUAUGCUAGAAAGCAAAGCCAGCCAGGAAGAUCCCACCGAACUUACAAUCUAAAGCAAUUGAAUUAAAUGGAAUGUAUAAAUAGCAUGUGAUUAUAACGGGAGCCAACACUGAGUGUCUACUUGAUGCCACACACUGGCUUAAAUCCAUUAGUUCUUAGAGCUUACAGCUGCAAACAGGACACAGAGAAUGACAGGAGGUUUUGCAAGAGAGAAACCCACGUUAUGUUAGGCUCCAAACUUGCACCCUAUGUGUAAAGCGCAAACCUUUAGUCAUUCUACUGGCAACUGAAUUUCUUCUUCAGGUGUGUGUGUGUGUGUGUGUGUGUGUGUGUGUGUGUGUGUGUGUGUAAUGGUGUGUACAUCAAGAAUUGAAAUUGCAAAUGAUCCAUUUACUCUGCUGCCCAAUACAUCGUAGACUGAGUUAGGCAUCAUGUUCAGACUCCCAGGUACCCUGAAAACCUCCCACGAACAAGCUAAUUCUCUCUAGCCUCACCUGCUACUCCAUCUUUAAGACUAAAUGGAAGACUUCAUUGUGCAGUGAGCUCUCCCAUGUCCCUAGGUUAUGAGCCUGAGAAUAAUUCUUAGACCAUGUAUCCUUAUCCUCAACACACAUGGAGACACAUAUGAAGAGUUAACACAUUGGAAACUCCAUGCAUCUCCUAACUCCAAACCCCCUGAUUUUGCUCCAUUGCCCUGUGGUUUCCAGUGAUCUGUCAUUUAAACAUUCAGUCCAAAUGCUGGUCUCAGAUAUGUUCAUUUUUACUGACUCACAACUAUACCUGGUCUGAAAUGGCCUAACCCCACCCUCAGUAUUCAUCUCUUCACAUUCCGUCUGAGGCUUCACUCCAAAAGGCUCAACCCUCAGUCUCUCAUCAAGACACACAAUCCUCUCCUCAAUUAUUCAGCUUCCUUCCCUUCCUCUUUUCCUUCCUCCUUCCUUCCCUCCCCAUCUUUUCUUCUUCCUAAUCCCUCACAGAGGAUAUAUGACAUCUGACUCUGUGCUAUAAUUUCAUUUCAUUCGGUUAGUGACUACUUUCAUUCAUCCAUGUAUCUUCCUCAAAGCAUGUAAUAGGAUACAUGUGAUUUAAACAAUGAAUGUUCCAUGAAUGCUGAGUACUCAUCAUGUCUGGCACUUUAGUGGUAAGAGGUGGGGAUCAUUUAUAAUGUUCAAUGUGGCUAGAAAUUUAGGAAAAAUAAAUUUUCUCUCCUGAACUGUAGAUAA